rnacentral:rRNA from 1 species
ACCUACGGGAGGCAGCAGUGAGGAAUAUUGGUCAAUGGCCGGGAGACUGAACCAGCCAAGCCGCGUGAGGGAUGAAGGUACAGAGUAUCGUAAACCUCUUUUGUCAGGGAACAAGGCGGGGACGUGUCCCCGGAUGAGUGUACCUGAAGAAAAAGCAUCGGCUAACUCCGUGCCAGCAGCCGCGGUAAUACGGAGGAUGCGAGCGUUAUUCGGAUUUAUUGGGUUUAAAGGGACCGCAGGUGGUCUGCUAAGUCA